AUUGAACGCUGGCGGCAGGCCUAACACAUGCAAGUCGAGCGGAUGACGGGAGCUUGCUCCUUGAUUCAGCGGCGGACGGGUGAGUAAUGCCUAGGAAUCUGCCUGGUAGUGGGGGACAACGUUUCGAAAGGAACGCUAAUACCGCAUACGUCCUACGGGAGAAAGCAGGGGACCUUCGGGCCUUGCGCUAUCAGAUGAGCCUAGGUCGGAUUAGCUAGUUGGUGAGGUAAUGGCUCACCAAGGCGACGAUCCGUAACUGGUCUGAGAGGAUGAUCAGUCACACUGGAACUGAGACACGGUCCAGACUCCUACGGGAGGCAGCAGUGGGGAAUAUUGGACAAUGGGCGAAAGCCUGAUCCAGCCAUGCCGCGUGUGUGAAGAAGGUCUUCGGAUUGUAAAGCACUUUAAGUUGGGAGGAAGGGUAUUCACCUAAUACGUGGGUACUUUGACGUUACCAACAGAAUAAGCACCGACUAACUCUGUGCCAGCAGCCGCCGUAAUAC
rnacentral:rRNA from 1 species